AUCGUUUCUCGGCCUUUUGGCUAAGAUCAAGUGUAGUAUCUGUUCUUAUCAGUUUAAAUUGAAAUACUAGGGCUGGGGUUGUAGCUCAGUGGUAGAGUACUUGCCUUACAUGUGUGAGGCACUGGGUUCUAUUCUUAGCAUCGCAUAAAAUAUCUAUAUGAAACAUC
rnacentral:snRNA from 1 species